AUGCCGUCAUGGGCCAUGGCCACAUCUCCAAAGGCAUUCCUCUUAUUCUAUGAAGAAUUUAGAAACUUCAACUCUGGCUACUUAAGUUUGCACUUCACAUUGAACGUAAGUGAGCUAUGGAUACCGAGGGUGGCUAUAUCUGUUUUUCUGUUGCCUGAACAUGUCUGGGCGAGGGACCACACAGAUUUGUUGUGCCGCAAGAGCGGGUAUAUGCCAUCAGGCUCAGUUAUCAUAGAAGGGAUAAUCGCCGGCCUUGGAGUCACUGGAUUUAUGCAUUGCAGAACACAAGCAAAGCUUGUCUUGAAGUUGGCUGACCUUGUGAGAAAACAUUGUUCAAGCAAGCAGUUGCAUGUGCUAUUCAUUCUGAUGCUGUUAACAGGGAUGAAAUAA
rnacentral:rRNA from 1 species